UUACAUUUAUACCAGUGACCUGAUCAAAGACUUCACCCACACUUUGGCUGCAUUACUGUGUGUACCAGUUCUCAAAAGACCUUUAACAGGAGGAAACUAGUAGCAUGUCUAGAAGCCUUGCUGAGACCUGUUGUCCAUCUUGCCUCAAUUGCUGUUGCCUGACCAAGUGGGAUUAUUUCACAGUGGACACUUUGCCAGAGCCUGAAGACAAGGAUUUUUUUCCCCUCCUGUGUUCAUCCUCCCCCCUCCUGUGAUGCUGAGCCAAGAGCUUUCUGGAGAAUCUGAGUCACUUGCAAAGGCUGCAGCUGGAGGAACAUGAGAACAGACUUCAAGCUGUGGCUGGUGCUGCUGCUGCCACCUUUGGAACCGGUGAUGGAAAAUGGCAGUUAUCAACAGACAGAAAUCAUCUGGAUGGACCAGGAGGAGCCUGAAGACUGGCUUUAUGUAAAAUUUCACCAUGAGAGCCCCAGGCUUGGAUCAGGCAAACCACCUGAUUGAAAGAGGUAAAUUGAACUGGGCAAAACUGAAGUGGGAUAGCAUCAUUACCUGAAGCUCCCUUGGGAUAUGAUAUAGGUGGUGCCUGAACCCCCUUGGUGACUUCUUGAGAGCCACACCCAAGGAGGAGACUCCAAGUUUGUUGAAUGGAGGUACAUUUCUCUAUAAUUAGUACUUUUCCUAAAUCAGUUAAUUUCUCUUCUAUGCAUGUAGUUUUAUUUCAGCCUUAAUUUUUUUUCUUUCAGUUGUUUGUACAGCAAGCAGUGACAGUUUAAUUCCCUCACUGUUUAAUUCUUCUUGCCUAUUGAUCUUGUAUGAGUCUCCCUGAAAAGUCAACAAGUCACAGUGUCAACAAGUCAAAUGUCAUCCAUAAUAUUUUCCUUCUUGUAGAAUGUUUCAUGUGAUGAUAUCCAUGUUGAAG